AAGCUCGAGUCCGCGGUGGCGGCGCUUUCCAGCGGUAGCCAGUCGGAGGAGGCGGGCGCGAUGCGUAGCGGGGCGGGGGACGCAGAGCCGGUAGCUGCUCGCGCCCGCAUGCGGUCGGCGCGCUGUACGGGUGGCGCGGCGGCGGUGCGUUAAACGCAGCACUGCGGCUCUGCAUGAGGCCAGCAGAGCUUGCUCUGCAUGUCUAGGCCUGAAAAUCAGGUUUUGCUAUCAGCUCUGUUCUCUGGUCAUGAUUCAUUGGACGAUAGGUAUUUGUUGGGGAGCAUGCCCCAAAUGUCAAGUUGAUCUUAGUCACAGAGUCUCCCAGUAUGAUUAAUUGGCAGGCCCUCCAGACGUAAUAUAUGUUUGUAUGAUGCAUGAAGGGUGACAAUAUUCUGGAUCGGCAAAGUGUUAAAUAAGGCAUGUGGUUGAAGUCUGGUGUUACCUCCUGUUUAGGCCUACAUGCUCAUUCUGAAACAAUGUUUGGAUAUCAAGCUCUCUAUAUUGUUAUUCAUUUUGUAGUUCUUUGUGUACAUGUAUGAACCCGAACGAGGGAAAAUGUCAUGUAAUUGCUCAGUUUUUACUCUGACCAA